rnacentral:lncRNA from 10 species
GCUCUGUUGCUGUGCCUAGUCUAGUGUCCCCCAAAGCAUCGGGGGGCCACGCAAGUGUGGGUGUGUGAGUGUGCGUAUGUGGGGACCCCCCAGGGCAUGGUGGGGUCUGAGGCGUGUGUUCCCAUUUAGGGCUGAAUGAAGCCAUGACUUGGAAAGGUGGUGGGGGGUGGAUGGCGGCUGUGACUCAGGGCCCAGGGAUCACAUGGGGGUCACUGCUGCCAUCAGCAGUCAGGCAGGGAGAACAGAAAUGCAAAAAUACAGAUGUCUAUUUUUCUAAACUGGGGGGUGGAGGGGUGCCUCCUGACAGCUUCCAAAGAGCUGACUGUGGAGGGCCCACAGUGUAUCCCACCCCUGCCCGAGAGUCUCUCUCCUUUGGGACCCCCGGGUUCCCAGAGCUCCGAGGAAACUGAUCCUUCAUGUUUCAAUAGCUGUUGUUGUUUUUCUCUUUGGGCCGGGCCGGGCCGGGGAAGGGCCGAGCAGGCUCCAGGAGGCCUCCAGAGUCAGCUGGACCUUGCUGUGUCGCCCGCAGGCAGCCCUGCAGACACCGGUGAGGUGGGAUGAUUUCAGGAGGUCCCAGCCCGGGACUGCCCGCCCCUCUGCCCUGGGAACCAGUCCAAGGGGCUGUCAGUUGAAUUUGCCUUUUUGUUGUUGUUGUUGUUUUUGUUGUUUAUUUGUUCUCCUUUUAAGGAAUUAUGAAGCUAAGAAAAGUUUUGUGUUUUGGGGGUUGGUGGACAAAGUUCUAGCUGAUUAAAUAUGGUCUAACUU